UACGUAGGGGGCGAGCGUUGUCCGGAUUUAUUGGGCGUAAAGGGCUCGUAGGCGGUUUGUCGCGUCGGGAGUGAAAUCCACUGGCUUAACUGGUGGCUUGCUUUCGAUACGGGCAGACUGGAGGUAUGCAGGGGAGAACGGAAUUCCUGGUGUAGCGGUGAAAUGCGCAGAUAUCAGGAGGAACACCGGUGGCGAAGGCGGUUCUCUGGGCAUGUCCUGACGCUGAGGAGCGAAAGUGUGGGGAGCGAACAGG
rnacentral:rRNA from 1 species